CUUGUUUUGUUAAUGAGUCGGUUUCCAAGCGCUCGAACUGCUGAAGAGGAGCAAACGUUGCUCGAAAGAUCGAUGCCGCCAAGUACAAGAUACGCGACAAAGUGGGCUUUGACGAUUUCUGAUUCCUGGAGAGCUGCUAGAAAGGUUAAAGAAGUGAAGAUCGACGAUGCCGAGGUCAUGAAACUGAUGAUAUUGGCCCAAACCAGACAUUAACUACAUCGCUGGCGGAGAUGAAUGAAGCGUCUUUAGCAUUUUAGUUAAGCAAGUUUGUUGGGUUUAAAGAGUUUAAAGUGGUGUGUAAUAAAAAACGAAAUGGUUGUUAAUCCCGUGUUUAAAAAUUGUAACAUUACCUUUAACUUUGGAAACUGAUA